rnacentral:rRNA from 1 species
GAUGAACGCUGGCGGCGUGCCUAAUACAUGCAAGUCGAGCGAACAGACGAGGAGCUUGCUCCUCUGAUGUUAGCGGCGGACGGGUGAGUAACACGUGGAUAACCUACCUAUAAGACUGGGAUAACUUCGGGAAACCGGAGCUAAUACCGGAUAACAUGUUGAACCGCAUGGUUCAACAGUGAAAGACGGUCUUGCUGUCACUUAUAGAUGGAUCCGCGCCGCAUUAGCUAGUUGGUAAGGUAACGGCUUACCAAGGCAACGAUGCGUAGCCGACCUGAAGGGGUGAACCGACACACUGGAACUGAGACACGGCCCAGACUCCUACGGGAGGCAGCAGUAGGGAAUCUUCCGCAAUGGGCGAAAGCCUGACGGAGGAACGCCGCGGGAGUGAAGAAGGUUCUCGGAUCGGAAAACUCUGUUAUUAGGGAAGAACAAAUGUGUAAGUAACUAUGCACGUCUUGACGGUACCUAAUCAGAAAGCCACGGCUAACUACGUG